UCCCUAGUAGCUCAGAUGGUAAAGCGUCUGCCUGCAAUGCAGGAGACCUGGGUUUGAUUCCAUUUUAUGGAU
rnacentral:tRNA from 1 species